AGCCAAUAAAGAUAACAAAGAUAUCAAAGACACAAAAGGCAUCUAAUGUGGAGCCAUUAUCAGAUUAGAAAGCAAGGAAAGAAAAUGCCAAGCAGAAGAGAAAGCAAAGUGUUGAGAGUGAAAAGAGGACCAAAGAAAAGUGAAAAAGGUCCAGUUAACUUGCAUCCAGAAGUUUUUAAAGAGCUGGCUGAGGAGCUUGCUGGAGUGGAAAUGCUGAUUUUCAAUAAGUCUUGGAGCACUGGGGAAGUUCCAGAAGACUGGAAGAAAGCUAAUGGUGUGCCAGUAUUUAAAAAGGGUAAAUGGGAUGACCAGGCCUGUCAACCUGACAUUGAUCAAAGGCAAGAUAAUGGAGCAGCUGAUAUAGGACUCACUGAAUAAAGAAUUAAAGGAGGGUGAUGUAAUUAAUGCAA